AUUGAACGCUGGCGGCAUGCCUUACACAUGCAAGUCGAACGGCAGCAUGAUCUCGCUUGCUAGAUUGAUGGCGAGUGGCGAACGGGUGAGUAAUACAUCGGAACGUGCCCUGUAGUGGGGGAUAACUAGUCGAAAGAUUAGCUAAUACCGCAUACGACCUGAGGGUGAAAGUGGGGGACCGCAAGGCCUCAUGCUAUAGGAGCGGCCGAUGUCUGAUUAGCUAGUUGGUGGGGUAAAGGCCCACCAAGGCGACGAUCAGUAGCUGGUCUGAGAGGACGAUCAGCCACACUGGGACUGAGACACGGCCCAGACUCCUACGGGAGGCAGCAGUGGGGAAUUUUGGACAAUGGGGGCAACCCUGAUCCAGCAAUGCCGCGUGUGUGAAGAAGGCCUUCGGGUUGUAAAGCACUUUUGUCCGGAAAGAAAUCGCACUUACUAAUAUUAGGUGUGGAUGACGGUACCGGAAGAAUAAGGACCGGCUAACUACGUG
rnacentral:rRNA from 1 species